GUAUUAGUAGUCUAAUUAAGAUAAUAACUUUUCGUGUUGUGGUUUCGCAUCUUGCGACUAGUACU
rnacentral:tRNA from 1 species